GGCGUCGUGGCCGAGUGUUUUUAAGGCGCUGGAUUUGAAUUCUGGAGGUCCCUGGUUCGAAAUCCCGACCCUGCCA